GAUGAACGCUGGCGGCGUGCCUAAUACAUGCAAGUCGAGCGAACAGACGAGGAGCUUGCUCCUCUGACGUUAGCGGCGGACGGGUGAGUAACACGUGGAUAACCUACCUAUAAGACUGGGAUAACUUCGGGAAACCGGAGCUAAUACCGGAUAAUAUAUUGAACCGCAUGGUUCAAUAGUGAAAGACGGUUUUGCUGUCACUUCUAGAUGGAUCCGCGCCGCAUUAGCUAGUUGGUAAGGUAACGGCUUACCAAGGCAACGAUGCGUAGCCGACCUGAGAGGGUGAUCGGCCACACUGGAACUGAGACACGGUCCAGACUACUACGGGAGGCAGCAGUAGGGAAUCUGACGCAAUGGGCGAAAGCAUGACGGAGCAACGCCGCGUGAGUGAUGAAGGUCUUCGGAUCGUAAAACUCUGUUAUGAGGGAAGAACAAAUGUGUAAGUAACUAUGCACGUCUUGACGGUACCGAAUCAGAAAGCCACGGCUAACUACGUG
rnacentral:rRNA from 1 species